GACGAACGCUGGCGGCGUGCUUAACACAUGCAAGUCGAACGGAAAGGCCCUGCUUUGUUGGGUUGCCGGGUGGCGAACGGGGGAGGAACCAGGUAGGUACCGGGCCCUAGCUUUUGGGGGAGGUUAAGGAAGGGGGGCUUAAUACCGGAUAGAAGACCCCCUUGCGUGGAGGGGGUGGGAAAGUUUGGCCGGUGGGGGUUGGACGAGCGGCUGUCAGGCUGGUUGGUGGGGUGGUGGUUUACCAAGCCUUGGGCGGGUAGCCGGCCUGGGAGGGUGACCGGCCACAUUGGGACUGAGAUACGGCGCAGCCUCGUACGGGAGGCAGUGGUGGGGAAUAUUGCACAAUGGGCGGACGUCUGAGGAAGCACCGCCGCGGUCGGAAUGACGGCUUUCGGGUUGUAAAACGCUUUCGCCUGUGACGAAGCGGGAGUGACGGUAAUGAGUAAAGAAGCACCGGCUAACUACGUG
rnacentral:rRNA from 1 species